GCUAGCGGCAGGCUUAAUACAUGCAAGUCGUGGGGCAGCAUGAGUAGCAAUACUUGAUGGCGACCGGCAAACGGGUGAGGAACACGUACACAACCUUCCUUCAAGCGGGGAACUAGCCCAGAGAAAUUUGGAUUAAUACCCCAUAAUAUAUUUGAUAAGGCAUCUUAUUAAUAUUAAAGCUUCGGCACUUGAUGAUGGGUGUGCGGCUGAUUAGAUAGUUGGCGGGGUAACGGCCCACCAAGUCUACGAUCAGUAGCUGAUGUGAGAGCAUGAUCAGCCACACGGGCACUGAGACACGGGCCCGACUCCUACGGGAGGCAGCAGUAAGGAAUAUUGGACAAUGGACGAAAGUCUGAUCCAGCCAUGCCCGCGUGAAGGAUUAAGGUCCUCUGGAUUGUAAACUUCUUUUAUAUGGGACGAAAAAAGGGCAUUCUUGUUCACUUGACGGUACCAUAUGAAUAAGCACCGGCUAACUCCGUG
rnacentral:rRNA from 1 species